rnacentral:rRNA from 1 species
AACGAACGCUGGUGGCGUGCUUAACACAUGCAAGUCGAACGAGAAAGUUUCUUUCGGGAAAUUAGUAAAGUGGCGCAAGGGUGAGUAUCACGUGAAUAAUCUGCCCUCGAGGUCGGGAUAACAUGGUGAAAACUAUGCUAAUACCGGAUAAGACCACAUUUCAUAAGAAAUGCGGUAAAAGGAGUCUCAAUCUUCACUCGAGGAUGAGUUCGCGCAACAUUAGCUUGUUGGUGAGAUAAAAGCUCACCAAGGCUACGAUGUUUAGCCGGCCUGAGAGGAUGAUCAGCCACAUCGGGACUGAGACACGGCCCGAACUCCUACGGGAGGCAGCAGUGGGGAAUAUUGGACAAUGGGGGCAACCCUGAUCCAGCAAUACCGCGUGUGUGAAG